GGAACUGCACCAGAAUCAAAUCUCUUUCCCUCUUCACGCGAUUUGUUGUAAUCUCUUUAUUAUGCAAAUCAAAUUCCAAAUUAGUUCUGCAAUUGUCGGUCAUAUACAUAACUCAAACUUUAAUCCCAUUUAUUUCCCAUGCCAAUCAAUUCACGACCAUUUCUUUUAUUCUCACUCCUACAACGUAAAUCUUUCCCAAAUUAUGCAAUUACUAAACACGGUAUAUGAAUCUCAAUUUAUUUUACCCAAUUUAUUCUCCAAUCAAACCUAAUCUUUUUCCCUAAAGUAUGCACUUACCAAACACGGUAUAUCAAACCCAAUUUAUUCUGCUUCAUUCCUCUACUACCCUAAUCACUCUCCCAGCCGCCGCAUACAACACACACUCCACUAUUUAAAACUCUCAACACACUCCCAAUUGAGGAAGAAGACGGUACCAUUCCUACUCUCAACUAAGCUGCAAUCUCUCAAGUUCAAAGAUCAGAACCGAACUCAAGCUCCUGUUUCAAUCCAAUCAAUCAAAUUAAACCGAGAACCAAAUUCAAGAGGGGAACUAUUGCCUAUUCAUUCAAGGUGGCUUUCUGCCAUGGCAAUCUGGUAGGAGAUUCUUUACUGGUUAAAUGUCAUGGAUUCAUGAGACAAUACCUUUGUAUCUUCAUAAGUGUUUUGAUAUUUACCAUGUAUAAUUGGUAAAGUAAAAGAGAGAUAGGAAAGUAAGAGAAAGGGAGGGAAAAAGUAGUGAAAUAAUAAGUGUUACUAGAUUGUGGAGUCCAUAUCUAGAAUGAUGUGUAAGAUUAGUAUUACUCCUAUAUCCAUGUAAAUUGAUUUUUUUUUUAUUCACACCCCGCUAAUUAAUGUAAUUUUUAUUUUAAUAUUAUAAUUCACUUUCAAACUUUUUAUUAUCCUGAUAA